CACAGCAGAGGACUCCGAUGCGGAGCCGCGUUCAAGUCACCACAUCCGUGUCACUGUCACAUUCCUUUGGGUUCCACUUGGUGGAUCAGGGUCGCCACCGUGCGCCGCCCCAAAUUCUACUGUCAAAACGCGGACCAUAAUCGCAUCCAUAUCUGAUUCACAAACGCGGACGCGCUGUAAAAUCUAACGGACGUUGGUACAGUUUUUGUUGGGGCAGACACGACCGAACAGCGCUCUCCAUAAACAGGUGGAAUUACCUCUGGGUCGGACAGGGCUAGCCAGCUGUAAUCCACCCUGCUACAGUGAUGCCCGCCUGCCUCCCGGCUUUUACGACGAAGAGUAAGUAGGACAUUGUACAUCUUAUAAUAUUCAACAUCAUUACUGUCACGGGAUAGAGAUGUGAAAGAGCGUUGUCCAUUCCAUAUGCAAUGCAAUGUCUGAUUGUCAUCUUACGAAAUUUAAAUGAAAGCUCUAAGUUUAGCUCUGUUGCCUUUUCAGAUCGGAGCGCUGAUGUGAUGUUUCCCCGUCGACUGAUGAGGGAAGGAAGAGAAGGCAGCCACGACACGCGAUUGUUCAACAUGACAGUGAGACAGAAAAAUAAUGUCAAGAUAAAUAAAAAAUCAUGAUGAGUGAAGUUCUUCGUCAGGUUGUGUUUUUUUCGGGAUCUUAUUUAAACGGUGUCUAGGCCAGGUCUGUGUUAUCUGUAGAAUUAAAUCUAAAUGCUGUUUGUAACGGUUAACUGGUUUAGUGUUCGUUUAUUGGGAUUAUAGCAUAAUAAGAAAGUAACUUUAUGAGCACGGAUCCAAAAUGGUCCCGGCCCGGAACAUCUAUGAGUCCGGAAUGGGUCCGUAACUGAUAAAAAGUAGUGGAACCGUGACGGAUGCAAUAAGUGGACACGUAAUGAGUCCGCAUCGGAUGUCGAGCCUCCGAACCGGGCUCACUGCGGAGGUACGCUUCUGCACGCGGAUCCGUUGCGGGUGACAAACGGGUCCCUUUUGACUCCGCACCACGCCUCCGCGUCGGAUGAUAGGCGGCGUGCAAGUGGACGCCGAUACGGCCCCGUUUACCGGAUCCGUUCCGGAGGAUGGCCUCCGGAUGGUGGACUCCGGGGCGGAUCCAUUACGGUGUACUUUUGCUGUGUGGGUU